rnacentral:rRNA from 1 species
GACGAACGCUGGCGGCGUGCCUAACACAUGCAAGUCGAACGGAAAGGCCCUGCUUUUGUGGGGUGCUCGAGUGGCGAACGGGUGAGUAACAAGUGAGUAUACUGCCCUUGACUUUGGGAUAACUUCAGGAAACUGGGGCUAAUACCGGAUAGGAGCUCCUGCUUCAUGGUGGGGGGUGGUUAGUUUCGGCGGUUGGGGAUGGACUUGCGGCUUAUCAGCUUGUUGGUGGUGUAGUGGCUUACCAAGGCCUUGACGGGUAGCCGGCCUGAGAGGGUGACCGGCCACAUUGGGACUGAGAUACGGCCCAGACUCCUACGGGAGGCAGCAGUGGGGAAUAUUGCACAGUGGGCGGAAGCCAGUUGCAGCAGCGCCGCGUGCGGGAUGACGGCCUUCGGGUUGUAAACCGAUUUCGCCUGUGACGAAGCGUGAGUGACGGUAAUGGGUAAAGAAGCACCGGCUAACUACGUG